rnacentral:rRNA from 1 species
AAUAAUGAUGAGUUUUAUCCUAGCUCAGAAUAAACGCUUUAUAAAUGCUUAACACAUGCAAAUUAAAUUUUUAUUAGGUAAAAAAAAUUAGUGAACUAGUGAGUAUAUUUGAGAAUAUAACCUUAAAAAUUAUAAAUUUCAAUAUAAAUAAAUAUAUAUAUAUAUAUAUUUAAUAAAAUUAAAUAAAAUUUUUAAGGAAUAGCUAUUUUUUGAUUAGUUAGUUGGUAAAAUAAAAGUUUACCAAGACAAUUAUCAUAAAUUGAUCUUAUUGGAUAAUCAAUCACAUUGGAAUUGAGAUAUAGUUCAAAUUUGUUUAAUUUCAAAGCAGCAGUGGGGAAUUUUUCGCAAUAAACAAAAGUUUGACGAAUCAAUUUAUAGUGAAGACAGAAGGCUUUUAGUUGUAAACUUCUUUUAUUAUAAAAAAAGUAAAAUGAUAACUAUAAUGAAUAAACAUCGGCUAAUUCUGUGCCAGCAGCCGCGGUAAUACAGAAGAUGUAAGCGUUAUUCAAAAUAAUUAGGCAUAAAGUGUCUAUAAAAUUGUUUUUUAAAUCUAUUAUUAAAUUCAAAAAUAUAAAUAUUGUAAAAAUAAUAAAAAUUAAUAAACUUGAGUUUAAUUAAGAAAAUAAGGAAUUAAUAAUGUAAUGGUGAAAUAUAUAAAAAUUAUUAGGAACACCAAAAGUCAAAAGAAUUAUUUUUAAAGUAAACUGACAUUUAACAAAUGACGAAAGCUAAGGGAUCAAAAGGGAUUAGAGACCCCUGUAGUCUUAGCUGUAAAUUAUAAAUACUAAUUUUUUUUCAAAAUAUAAAUAAAAAAAAUAUCAUAAACAUUAAGUAUUUCGCCUGAGGAGUAUGUUUGCAAGAAUAAAACUUAAAGGAAUUGACGGGGGUCUAUAAAAGCGGUGGAGUAUGUGGUUUAAUUCGAUGCAAAGCGAAAAACCUUACCAGGAUUUGAUAUAAUUAAUUUAUUUUGAAAAAAAUAAAUAAAAAAAAUAAAUAUUUUUUUUUAUUUACAGAUGGUGCAUGGCUGUCGUAAGCUCGUGCUGUGAAGUGUUUGGUUAAUUCCUUUAACGAGCGAAACCCUUUAAUUAUAUUUACUUAAAAAAUUAAAGUACCAAUAAUUUAUUUUUGUGAUAAACUUAUUUUCUUAUUUAGGAUUACGUCAAGUCAUUAUGCCUUUUAUAUUCUGGGCUACACACGUACUACAAUGAAUUUGACAAAUAUAAAUAAAAAAAAAAUAUGUAAAAUUAAAUUAUUAAAAUAAUUUUUUAAACUUAUUCUUAGUUCGGAUUAAAAACUGAAACUCGUUUUUAUGAAGUUGGAAUCGCUAGUAAUCAUUGGUCAUCUAUACAAUGGUGAAUUAAUAAAUUAGAUCUUGUACACACUGCCCGUCACAUUAUAAAAAUUAAAUAGAUUUAAAAUUUUAAUUAAGAUUAUUAUUAAAAUAUAUUUUUUAAUUAUAAUGAAGUCGUAACAAGGUAGCUUUACUAGAAAGUGUGGCUGGAUUAUUUAAAA